rnacentral:misc_RNA from 1 species
CAAGUCUUUCGCUUUCAACUUGUUCUUCGUUAUACGCACGACGUAUAUAUUGUCGUCGCUGUUAAUUUUGUGCUUAUGGUAUCAAAAUCCUUUUUUUUUAAAAAAAAAAUAAAGGGGCACAAAGCAACAAGCAAAAGGUUCAUAAAACUGCUACAAGCCCCGUAUCCAACUAUGAAAAAGAAACCCCAAAUUUCCCGAAAACACUAACUGACAAGACCUCUGAAGCCUUACAAUUAUAUCAUGAAAAAAAAAACAACUGAAAUCAAUAAAUUGACUUAAAAAAUCAACAUAAUUUCCAGCUUAUGGAGCAAAUUAAUAAAAGCAAACCCAAAAGAAGCAAUUCUACAAAAAAAAAAGGAUAGAAACUAACAAUAAAUUCAAGCAAUUUUAGCGAAAUUAAGCACAAGUACCACAAAAUUAAUGGGGAAAAAAAACGAAGGCAAAUUGUAUCUCAAAAAGUACCCACCAAGUAACAGUAAAAGAGAGAGAGAGAGAGAG